rnacentral:tRNA from 1 species
GUUCUAUUAGUAUAAAAAUUAUGUUUAACUUCCAAUUAAAAGAUUCCAUCAAAAGAAUAAAAUA